CCUACGGGCGGCUGCAGUGGGGAAUUUUGGACAAUGGGGGCAACCCUGAUCCAGCCAUUCCGCGUGAGUGAAGAAGGCCUUCGGGUUGUAAAGCUCUUUUGUCCGGAGCGAAACUGGCGGCCCUAAUACGGUCGUCUACUGACGGUACCGGAAGAAUAAGCACCGGCUAACUACGUGCCAGCAGCCGCGGUAAUACGUAGGGUGCGAGCGUUAGUCGGGAUUACUCGGGGUAAAUUGUACGACAGCUGUGAAAUCCCCGGGCUCAACCUGGGAAUGGCAUUUGGGACUGCAAGGCUGGAGUGUGGCAGAGGGGACUAGAAUUCCUGGUGUAGCAGUGAAAUGCGUAGAUAUCAGGAGGAAUACCGAUGGCGAAGGCAGGUCCCUGGGUUAACACUGACGCUCAUGCACGAAAGCGUGGGGAGCAAACAGGAUUAGAUACCCUAGUAGUC
rnacentral:rRNA from 1 species